CCUACGGGAGGCAGCAGUGGGGAAUCUUGCGCAAUGGGCGAAAGCCUGACGCAGCCAUGCCGCGUGAAUGAUGAAGGUCUUAGGAUUGUAAAAUUCUUUCACCGGGGACGAUAAUGACGGUACCCGGAGAAGAAGCCCCGGCUAACUUCGUGCCAGCAGCCGCGGUAAUACGAAGGGGGCUAGCGUUGCUCGGAAUUACUGGGCGUAAAGGGAGCGUAGGCGGAUAGUUUAGUCAGAGGUGAAAGCCCAGGGCUCAACCUUGGAAUUGCCUUUGAUACUGGCUAUCUUGAGUACGGAAGAGGUAUGUGGAACUCCGAGUGUAGAGGUGAAAUUCGUAGAUAUUCGGAAGAACACCAGUGGCGAAGGCGACAUACUGGUCCGUUACUGACGCUGAGGCUCGAAAGCGUGGGGAGCAAACAGGAUUAGAUACCCUGGUAGUCCACGCUGUAAACGAUGAGUGCUAGUUGUCGGCAGGCAUGCCUGUCGGUGACGCAGCUAACGCAUUAAGCACUCCGCCUGGGGAGUACGGUCGCAAGAUUAAACUUAAAGGAAUUGACGG
rnacentral:rRNA from 1 species